GUGUUCACUUCUCAGCACAUAUACUAAAACUGAAACAAUGCAGAGAUCAGCAUGGCUCUUGAGCAAGAAUGACAUGCAAAUUCAUGAAGUGUUCUUUUU
rnacentral:snRNA from 1 species